CCAUCACAAACACACCAUCGCUACUGUGAAGCACGGUGGAGGCAGCAUCAUGAUGUUUCUCAGCAGUAGGGUCUUGAAGGCUUGUAAAGAUUGAGAGGAAGAAGAAGGUUUUCCAGAAGUUGUCGAACAGACCUGGAUCUUUCACAGCACAUCUGCACCGCGGUUCUUUCUGCGAGCUCUUCCUGUGGUUUUGACGUCUCCGAGUGAUGCUCUUCCUGUCCGUUGCCUGGCAACAGAGGAGAAAAAAUAGAUGAGGUGAUGAGUGAAGGGUGAAGACAAGCCCCCCCAUCUAUAUGAACAACCAGCUAAGAAACACAGUUCCAAAGCAGGAUUAUUUUCAGUAUAGUCUCAUUCAACUUUAAUGCACUCGGUCCAAUGAUGCCAAAUGCAUUCAAGCUUCACUGUUCCUUCGUGGAUGAACGUUACAUCUUGAACCUCCAGAUUCUCCUCAACAGCAUGCAUGACCUCAUCAUCGCUCUGACAAUGGCAACCAGGUAAGUGGGUCAGAAAGUCCCUGAAGUUCUUGGACUCACCAGAAAACAUCAAAGGAGAAAGUUUGUUCUUACAUUAUUCAUCUAAACAGUCUCCUUUAUCUUCGACACACUUUGUUCACCGAUGUUUAAACUUUGCUGUCCCUUCAUGGAAGAAGAUCACAUCUUCAGACUACUUAACAACAUGGAUGACAUCAUCAUCAAUGUGAAAAUGGAGACGAUGCAAGAAGGGUUUUAGUUUGAAAUAGAUGGCAGUCUGCUUCCAUAAACAUUAGUGACUUCGUAGACAGUAAAAUAAAGUAGACAGACAUGCCUCUUGUCGUGGCAGCAGAUUGUCAAGUCAUUUGUAAACACAUUAGCUCAAAGCCCCACCUCACAUGUUGUUUUGGACAAUACUCACGAUAGUUUCACUGCUUUCAUAGUGUGAGUUUUCAUCUGUACUGUAAAUUGCACUUAACAUGGUAAGAACACACCCAUCUACAUGAAAAAUGAAUUAUGAAACAGUUCCAACAUGGCAUUACUUUGCAGUAUACUCUCAUUUAACUUGAAUGCACUCGGUCCAGUCAUGCCAAGUGCUUUCCAGCUUUGCUGUCCCUUCAUGGAUGGUUACAUCUUGAACCUCCAGAUUCUCCUCAACAACUUUGAAAAUGGCAACCAGGUAAGUGGGUCAAAAAGGUUCAAAAGUUCUUGGACUCACCAGAAAACAUCACAGGAGAAAGUUUGUUCUUACAUUAUUCAUCUAAGUAGUCUCCUUUAACUUCAACACACUUGGUCCACUGACGUUUAAACUUUGCUGUCCCUUCAUGGAAGAAGAUCACAUCUUCAGAUUCCUUAACAAAGUGCAUGACCUCAACAUCAAUCUGAAAAUGGUGACAACGCAAGCUAGUACAAACAUUAGCAUGUUUGUGGACAGUGAUAUGAGACUAUAUAGUUUACAGUUAAGUCUCUUGUUUCUGGGUGAACCAAAACAUUUUUGGUUUAUGUCGUACUCGACCUAUAGUGUUCUGUCGUUACGUCAGAGCUGGUUAUGUGGAACUAGUUGGUGAGUGGAGCGGAUUAAUACGUUGUCACGCGGCACUAUAAGACGACUUUGUUUGCAUUCGUCAGUUGUACGCCACCUUAGAUUGUGCUACAUUCACUAACUUCAUUACGGCUCCAAGCGUCAGACUCUCCUGAUGCUUCAAAGAAAAGGAAAGCCGUCUCCAUGGAAGUGAAAUUAGACAGAAUAAAACACUGAAGUUGUAAAAACAGUGCAACAUAUUGUUAUCUUCUUGUAAAAUGAUUCAUACAUGCAUGAAAGUUGCUAGUAUUCAUGACGUUUCCAAAGAACCAAUUGAUCAGCCUGUCCUCAAACCAAAAACGACCACAUAGGUCAUCUGUACACGCCCGUAUUACGACCCAGUGUUACGUUUUGACUAUGCGACCUCUGGCGGUUGAGUAAAUAGCGACACUCUGGAGUCGCAGGUGACACAUCACCAGGAACAAACUUUUAUCUAACACUAUCCUUGUCCCUAUCCCUAACCUUAACCAUAACCCUAAACCCGUGUUGGGAAAGUGAGGGAAAAGCCGUUUCGUGAAUUAAAUCCCGUAAUGCGUUCCUUUUCCCCGUAGGGGUGCUAACAUAAAUACGCUCUCACGGGUCGUAUUCCGGUGCACGGUGCAUACGACCGAUGCGGUCGUAUGAAUUUGAGGACUUGUUGGAUUGAUGUAUGGAACGGCUUUGUUUAUAUUUUCAUUGGAGUUUCGACUUAAGUGUAGGAACGGAACUCCAACCUAAGUCGAGGACCUCCUGUAUACCCAAAAAGCCGAAUUAAACUGCAAUGAAUUGAACACGGUGGCAGAUUGUCGACUCAUCUGUGAACACAUUAGCUCAAAGCUCCACCUCACAAAAUGUUUUUUGGACUAUAUUUAGGAUAGUUUGACAAUGUAUUUACUGCUUUCAUAGUGUGACUUAUCUGUACUGAGGAUUCUAUCAAUCUAAAUGAAAAACUAGCGUUUAAAACACGGCUCCUUUUCAGCAAUGCCUUCGAAAUAACAGCCUCCACCGCUGAAACGAUUCUGUCUUUGCCUUCUCUGUUUCUCUGCCACACAGAAACAGAAGCACCACCACCCCCAUUCUCCACCAUCCUCCCCUCCAUCCUCCCCUCCCCAGCUCCCUCUCCUCUUUGCUGUGCUGCUUCUAUAAUUCAAAUCCUGUCAUGCUUGUUCCAGACUGCUGGCUCCAGCCCCCCAUCACCACCCGGCAGCCUCCACCCCUCUCACACUCUCUCUCUCUAGGAAAGAAAAGCAAAAAGGGGGGGGAAAGAGCUUCUUUGAGGGACAAAGCUGACAGAACUACACAGACAAAUAUACCGAAUGUGGAAAAAAAGCCACCGUGCUGUGCAUUUGGAUUUUUUUUCCCUUUUUUUGCAGGAACACCGAGCACUCUUUUCUGCACACGCCUCCUCAUUAGCUCAAUUUCGGUUCCUCCGUUAUUUCUGAUUUUGGUGGGAAAAGAGAGGUCGGUUUGCUUUAAUUACCCACUUUAACAGAUACUCCACCGGUUUGCUUCUGUGACGUCUGGAGACGUCUGAGAGAUACUUUAAUUAAAAAUGAUCAAAGGUGUGGAGGAGAGAUAACAAAGAUCAGUCAAACUGUUAGCCGUCAAAUGUGGCAUGUGCAUUUGUAGAGAAAGCCAUGAGAAAGAUCCAAAAUGGCGGACAGUGGCAACAUAAUUUUGGAAGUCGGCUUUCUAAUUUUUAUCUUAUUAACAUGGUUCCACACAUUUCCAACAACUUAGAGUUCGAUGCUGGAAACAGAAACCAUCUUUGAACCUUCUAAGUACACUAAAAGCUCAUUAAACCAAACACGCAAUGGAACAAAAGUCUUAGAAUUAACCAGACUUACUGGAUAUAGAAACACUUUAAGUGAAGCGAGUACUUUGAAUUUUGUUUGCGAUCUUACAGUAGUUGGAAAAGUCAACUUUACAUUGGUGCAGAUUGGUUUUUCCAACUCUUUAAUCCUCAUAGCUUUACAGCUUAGCAUACAGACCAUGUAGACAAACAUGGAUCCAGGAAGUAGCCACAUUACCUUAAGUUCUCAAAGUCGUGAGAAACACGAUGAUGAGAACAUAAUGACCGUCUUGGUGGCCCAUUUACACCAGGACCGACAUGGAGGUAGAGUGUUGUGUCAAAACAAGCUACAAAGACAUAAGUUAUUGUGUCAAAGCACGCAAGUUUGGAUUCUACAUCAAACUCCACAUAUUUUGACAAUAAACCAAGCAAAUUGUUCUACAAGAUCAUUUUGUGUGAAAAUUUAUGGGGCUGCACAUUUGAAAUGACGGCCAUCUUGAAAAAUGGUUGUCAGUGCCUGCCAUUUUAAAACAAUUCAUGUGGCUAACGUUCUUUUGUGAAAAUUCACGGAAGUCAACUUCGCAUUGGUGCAGGUUGGUUUUUCCAACUGUUUUGUCCUCAUAGAUUUACAAUUUAGCAUCAGAUCAGAACAUACAGACCAUGUAAACAAACAUGGAUCCAAAAAACUAGCCUUAAGUUCUCAAAGUUGGGAGAACAUUCCAACAGCAAUAAAAAGAAAAUCAUGACUGUCUUGAUGGCCCAUUUACACCAGGACCGACAUGGAGGUAGAUUGUUGUAUCAAAACAAGCUAGGAAGAGCAUGAAAGUUUGGAUUCCACAUGAUAAAUUUCACAUAUUUUGACAAUAAACCAAGCAAAUUGUUCUACAAGAUCAUUCUGUGUAAAAAUAUAUUGGGCUGCACAUUGGAAAAGGAGGCCAUCUUGAAAAAAAAUGGCUGCCAAUGGUUGCAAGGGUUUAAAAAAUUUGCGUAGCUAAUGUUCUGUUGUGAAAACUCACCUUGUGACAGACAUGUGAGACAAUUUUGGUGCUGAUGGAGUAAAUAAGUAAAUUUUAAAAACUUUACAUUAGUGCAGGUUUUUUUUCCCAACAGUUUUAUCCUUGUAGCUUUACAGGUUAGCACCAGAUUAGAACAGACAGACCAUGUAAACAAACAUGGAUCCAAGAACGAGCCACAUCGGUUUCAAUAAAUGUUUGGUUGCUUAGGUUGAAGAACUUGCUGGUUCUUAGUUCUUGUAGCGAUAAAGAAGUAUUACUUUGGGGAAAAUUUCAAAAUUAGGCACAUUUUACAACAAAUGGAACAAAACAAACAUUGUGGUAGAUGGACAGAUAAACAGAACUCUGAAUUUUAACACCAGGAAACAUCAGUUCAGUUCCCAUUUUUCACUCAAUUGUUCCAUUUGAACUGUUUAAUUAUAAAUGUAAUCAUAUUUUUUUAAAAACUCCUCUGGUCUAAAAUAAGUUCUUUAAAACGAAACCAUAAACUAAAUCAAUUCAUUUCUGUGCCUAAACACACCCACAGCUGUGUCACAUCAUAAAGCAGAUUUAUGACGUGAUAACUCCGUGCUGAUGGCCUGUGUACAAUCUAUAGGUGGUUUAUGAUCCGGACGAACCAUAAAACACGGAGUGGUUGUUCUCUGACGGGACAUUUACAUAAGAUGCUGCAAUGUUGGUGUUACGCCGAUGGAUAAACCAGAAGGAACCUACUGAUGGGGGGUAAAUAGAAGCUGUAGAUCUGGUCAGCGCUGUCUCAGGUUUGGAAAAAGGUAGAGGAGAUGAUUUUUUACAUCAAGGUGAGCGGACUAGAAGCGAUAAAUACUCAGUGUGUGAAACAGUUACAGGGGAGCCCAGUCUCUACAACAUCACAUUCCUAUGAAAUUAAAUUGCAUUCUCAGUACUGUUUUUGAAAUAAAUGUAAUUUCCAAGCUGUCAUGCUGUAGGAAAGGUGGCUAGUUAAAGUCUGAGUUAGGAGAUAUGAACCAGCAACCAGACUUUCACCCAGAAGACCAUCAUCAGAGAAUUAAAUUCAGUUUUCUGUCUUUGUUUACUUUCAAUUUUUACUCACUUUCUGGUUUGGUUUCAGAAAAAUACCAACCUAGACAGUGAGUUAGAUGCUUGGUGGAGGUUCCCCAGAUAGCAAAUUAUGGGUGAAUCAAUGUUGAAUCUAUGUUGAGACCUAACGUCGAAAUUAUACAGAAAGCGCAAGGUUGAUAAAAUGUUGAGUCAACGUUUGCUUACAUAGAUUACAUGUUUGCAAACAUAGAUUCAACAUUAAUUAAACAUUGACCUGUCAAACAUUUUAAUUAAACCAAAAUACAACGUAGAUUCAAUGGUAUCUUUUAAACACAAACUUCAAUGUUGACAAAAUGUUGUUGAAUCAUUGUUGAUCCAACCAUCAAUCUUCAACCGUAACCACAAUUCAACCUUCUUAACCCUAAUUCAACAUUGAUUUAACAUCUUUUGCUAUCUGGGUAAAGUGUGAUUUAUGGUUGAAAAGCAAACGUUGACUCAACAUUUUAUCAACCUUGCGCUUUCUGUAUAAUUUCUACGUUAGGUCUCAGCAUAGAUUCAACAUUGAUUCACCCAUAGUUUGCUAUCUGGGUUGUGGUCAUAGUUACAUUAAAAACAUGUGCUUAAAGUUAUGGGAUGGUCAUGGUUAGAACACACAGCAAGAAAGAAACUAGUGAGGGAGGCCACCAAGACUCUAUGACUCCUCUGAAGGAGUUCCAGCUUCAGACUGUUCAACAACUGUUGUCUGUUCUUCACCAGUCAAAGCUUCAUGGAGACAAAGAGAAAGACUCUGAUGGAAAAAGCUCCAAUUAAAUGUGGACUAGAGUUCAGCAGAAGACAUGUGGAGACUCUGAAGACACCUGGAAGAAGGUUCUUUGGUCUGAGGAGACCAGGAUGGAGCUUUAUGUCCAUCAGACUAGAUGAUAUGUUUGAUGGACACCAUCACAAAGACACCAUCCCCACUGUGAAGCACGGUGGAGGCAGCAUCAUGAUGUUUUGGAUCAUUGUACUACUGCAUCACCCAACUAGUGCUCUUCUAGAAGAUACCUUCAGAAACCAUUUAUUAAUUAACUAUCUAUCACCAGUGGCAGCAACUUCGCCCCAAAGUCAUGAUGCUGCCUCCACCAUGCUUCACUUUUGAUAUUUUUAUGUUUAUAUUUUCAAUGAAUUGACGUUUUGUAGAAAUCUGAUCACAUUUUGACACAAAAGAGUCUAUUAGUGAAUCCUGAACAAAAAUAGUCAAAAUAAAUGAACCCUGAUUCAGUCUCAGCUGAAUGUUUGAUGUCAUAUACCUUUAAAAAAUAUUAAUUUAAUGACUACUAAACAGAUGAUAUGUUGUGACUAUGAUCAUUAGACUUAAUUGAAAGCCUCAUUUUGGUGUUUUCUCAAACAAACAACAAUACUGAAGCUGGGGAUCUUAUUGAAACUUGACCUAAGGGUGUGUUAUUGUAAAAACACAGGUUUGCUUUAUGGCAUUUAACUCAGGGUUUUCUUCAGGGGCAGCAUGGCUCAGUGGGUAGAGUGGCCAUCUUGUAACUGGAAGGUUGCUGGUUCGAUCCUCGGCCUGUCAUGUUCAUGUCGAGGUGUCCCUGAGCAAGACACCGAACCCCUAAUUGCUCCUGAUGGAUUGUGGUUAGUGCCUUGCAUGGCAGCUUCAGUGUGUGAAUGGGUAAAUGUGACAUAUCAUGUAAAGUGCUUUGGAUAAAAGCGCUAUAUAAAUACAACCAUUUCAUUCCUUCAGGGUCUUUUUCUGAGCAGGAACCUGAAGGUCCUUGUGGACGUGGAGCUGAUGGACCAAACGUCCUCCACAGCUGAUUGGCAGGACUCAUAGCUCACACUGUGUUCGACUCGGGGUAAUUCAGCCAUAAUGGAACAUUCUCCUCGGCCCGGCCCGCCUCAUUGCCUCCUUCAGUCUGAUGUCGCAACAGCAACAACUUCAGUCAUCGAGGAGCAACGAAGCCGUGAAAUUGCUCCAACAAAUCUUUGUAAUUCUCACACAACUGGACGGAUUGUUUUAUCCGAGGUAGAACAUCGAAAAUCAGCAGAGGACUUCUGUUUGACCAUCUACGAUUUACUUUAGACUUUAUUUUUAAUCAUAAGCUGCAGAUAUUUAUAAAGAUAUCUGUGACAUUUUAGCUUCAUAUAUUACAUGCUUGCAGAGAUAAUUUAUUCAAAAUCCACCCAUUGACCCACUUUCAUCAGGUUUUUUUCUCACAUUUAAAUUUGAGUCUGUUUGAACAACAACAUCUGAUGGACUGUUAAAGACAAAAACCUGAAAUUUUAAAUAAAUUAUAUUAUUGUCUAACAGUCAUGAGUACACCUAUUACUUUUUUCUGACCGUACUUACAUAUUUUAACUCUAAGCGAUGUUUUUAAUGCAUCACUUUUCCAGUUUUUUUGCAUCCAAAGUCCUCAGAUUUUCUGGUCAGCAUUCUCUGAUGUGUCUGAAAUUUUUAUAGAAUAAAAUUUGGAUAUUUAUAAAAGAUAUUUGUGUAAUUUUAGUCUCAUAUAUCCAACACUUUCUGACAUAAAUUUGUUUAAAAAUCUGCCCGUUGACCAACUUCCGGGAGGUUUUUUCUCACAUUAAAUCUGAGUCGGUUUGAACAACAUCUGAGGAACUAUUAGAAUUUCUUUUGGGAAAUAUUAGAUCUUAAACCUUCCAUUGAGGUAAAACAAGCGUGCUUCAAACAGGACAAUCUUCACCACCAGUAUACGAACCCUACAAAGUCUACUGGUUACUUCAACAACAUCUGAGGAACUAUUAAAGAUAAAAACCUGAAAGUUUCUCUCUUAUUUC